UGGAGGCCUGGUAUCUCUGUUGCUGCGGGGGGGGGGGGGGGGACUCGGGAGGAAAGCCGGUCCAGCCCCUCCCCAGCCCGGCAGCACUCUGCUCUCGCCUUCCAGCAGCUCUCAGGGCAAAACUGCAAAGCCUCUCCGAUCUCCAGGUGAAUUUGCAAAAGACUCCCCCCCCCCCCCCACCCUUCCACACGCGAACCCCCAUCACUAACCGGACUCCGUCGCUUGAGGGUCACAUUCUUCCACAGCAAGAGACAGGGCUCUUGUGCAUUGAAGCAACUGCAAGAAGGAGGAAGAAAAAAGCAAACAAAAUGCUUUUUAAAAGAUGUUUUGGAAACAGGGAUGGAGAACACUGAUGCAGAGAGUCUUAGGCGACCCCUGUGAAAGGGUCGUUCGACCCCCAGGUUGAGAACCAUUGGACUAAAGGAACUGUCCCUUUGUACCCUUUUUCCUGGAGCAUCUGACUGGCCACUUUGGGAUACAGGGUUAGAUAAACCUUUGGUCCUAUCCAGUAAGUUUCUUCUUAAGUUCUUGAACACCCUUCCUCCAGCUGUCCGGACCCUGCGGGACCUGGGUGAGUUCCGCAGGGCCUGCAAGACUGUGUUGUUCCACUGGGCCUUUGGAGUGUCCAGCUGCUGAACGGUGCCCCCUCA